AUUGAACGCUGGCGGCAGGCUUAACACAUGCAAGUCGAGCGGAGAUGAGGUGCUUGCACCUUAUCUUAGCGGCGGACGGGUGAGUAAUGCUUAGGAAUCUGCCGAUUAGUGGGGGACAACAUUCCGAAAGGAAUGCUAAUACCGCAUACGCGCUACGGGGGAAAGCAGGGGAUCUUCGGACCUUGGGCUAAUAGAUGAGGCUAAGUCGGAUUAGCUAGUUGGGGGGGUAAAGGCCUACCAAGGAGACGAUCUGUAGCGGGUCUGAGAGGAUGAUCCGCCACACUGGGACUGAGACACGGCCCAGACUCCUACGGGAGGCAGCAGUGGGGAAUAUUGGACAAUGGGCGGAAGCCUGAUCCAGCCAUGCCGCGUGUGUGAAGAAGGCCUUUUGGUUGUAAAGCACUUUAAGCGAGGAGGAGGCUACCUGGAUUAAUACUCUAGGAUAGUGGACGUUACUCGCAGAAUAAGCACCGGCUAACUCUGUGCCAGCAGCCGCCGUAACAC
rnacentral:rRNA from 1 species